rnacentral:rRNA from 1 species
GUGGGGAAUAUUGCGCAAUGGGGGAAACCCCGACGCAGCAACGCCGCGUGAGUGAUGAAGGCUUUCGAGUCGUAAAACUCUGUCUUUGGGGACGAAUAAUGACGGUACCCAAGGAGGAAGCCCCGGCUAACUACGUGCCAGCAGCCGCGGUAAUACGUAGGGGGCAAGCGUUGUCCGGAAUCACUGGGCGUAAAGGGCGCGUAGGCGGUUUGUUAAGUCAGGUGUGAAAGUUUUCAGCUUAACUGGAAAAGUGCACUUGAAACUAACUUACUUGAGUAGUGGAGAGGUAAGCGGAAUUCCUAGUGUAGCGGUGAAAUGCGUAGAUAUUAGGAAGAACACCGGUGGCGAAGGCGGCUUACUGGACAGAGACUGACGCUGAGGCGCGAAAGCGUGGGGAGCGAACAGGAUUAGAUACCCCAGUAGUCC